UAAUGGGUUGACAUGAUCCCUUUUACAGCUACCCUGUGGGAUCACCUUCACCAAUGUGCGAUCAACGCGUUCCUGAUCAUACAGCAUCCCACUGCACUUGAACUCCAGGCACACGGCUGACACUCCUGUCUGUUCCAUGUCACGUAUACUUCGGAUAUCUCGGAGACCAUACAGCUGGCCCACUGUCUUUGGGCCUGUAUCGGGGUUGAGUGACCACAGCUUCAUGGUUCCAAGGUGUUCAGGCAUAGUCACCUGGGCAGAAUCUAGGAACACCUUCACCUCACCUGCAUUCAAGGGCUCAUCGGUUUCUCCACCUCUGAAGUCAACCGAGAACAUCCCAUAGGUUCUCAGUGGCAAGGUCUCUCCUCCUCUUCAGUGUGCUUCAGCACACUCCUCCGGCAUCUCUUUUAUACGACUCUGCCCGUAGCACCACUCCUUCCAGCUUUGGACUCCCAGUGUGUAACACUGGUACUGAAGAUAAACAGUGUUUCGAGGGAUCUAAGUAACAAUUUCUGGUCUUUGUAAAACUGACACUGGCAUUAGUCAUAUUGGCCAAAUAUGUAAAAAUACUCUCAAGGUAUUUUGCAUCAAAUGGCUGGCCCAAUCAUGAAUAAUCAUGGAGAAAGUGAAAAAUUAAUACAUCCGUUCUUUUGACCAGUGUGUUUACAUUAUUUAGUCAAAAUUCAUCACCAAGCAUGUAAUGCUAAAGAUUGACGUUAUGCAUAAUCACUAUUGUUUUGAGUAUUAUUUCAUAACAUUCAUUUGUUGACCUUAUCAUAUGACAGCAAAGAGCACUAAUGUUUUCCACAGCUCAGUUUAUUCAUUUAACUUGAGGUUUACAACAAGGUUUGCUUCUCCAGUUAGAAAAAAUGCUCAGACAUAUGCAAAGAGCUAUCUGAGGCCACCAUCUGGAAAACACAGUUUCAGUAACAUUAUCCAAUGUUGAAAGCAAUUUUAGCUACUUUAGCGCAAUGUUAGAAUUUGAAAUCACAUGGUUAAGGACAAGAAAUUGAUCUUGAUGUUUUCCAGUGCAGCAGAAUACUUGAUAAAACACGUAUUACUGAUUUACUAAAGCUUUGUCCGUGCAAAAAGGAACACUGCAGCCGAAUUUGGAGUCGCUGUUUUUGAACUGUAAGCCAUUUUACACGCCGCGCGAGUUUGCAUUUUUCAUUCUCUCCCGUUUACAUUCCUCCUCGAGCUAACACGAAUGCCGCACUGCUAAUGCUCGCUGAACAAGUAAACAAAAUUUAAAAAAAACCCACCCAGACUCACCCCUCAUUAUUCUUGGGGACUUUUAACAAAGCUAAACUCAACCACAAACUUUCUAAAUAAAAGCAACACAUCGACUGUCCGACCAGGGAAAAUAACAUUUUAGACCACUGUUAUACUACGCUAAAUAACGUGCUAUACCUCGUGCAGCUCUGGGCUUGUCUGAUCACUGCUAAAUUCACUUAAUACCAACAUACAGACAAAAACUUAAAUGCGCAAAGUCUACAGUGAAAACAAUGAAAAAGUGGACCAAAGAAGCAAAGAUGGAACUUAAAAGCUGUUUAGACUGCACAGACUGGAGUGUCUUUGAAAAUUCAGCUGGCAGCCUGGAUGAAUAUACGGACACUGUCACAUCCUAUAUCAGUUUCUGUGAAGAUGCGUGUAUACCAACAAAGUCAUUUUGCACAUUCAACAACAACAAGCCGUGGUUCACUGCUAAACUUAAGCAACUUCGCCGAGCUAAGGAGGACGCAUGUCAAAGCGGGGACAGGGGCUUGUAUAAUCGAGCUAGAAACCAGCUGACUAAAGAAAUUAACAUUGCAAAGAGGAACUAUGCAGCAAAGUUGGAAAAACAAUUUAGCGCUAAUGACUCGAAAUCAGUCUGGCAUGCAUUUCAAUCGCUGACCAAUUACAAGCGACGAUCCCCCCCAAGCUGAGAACAAUAGUACACUAGCCAACGACUUGAAUACCUUCUACCAUCUCUGUCGGGUCAUUUAUACAUUAGUCGUGCACCCACUGUAGUAGUCUGUACUCUGCACUAUUUGCUUACUGUUGUUGACCAAUACAUGGUUACAUGACUGUGCAAGAAUCUUGCACUGAAACUUGCUAUUACCAUGUGAUCACUUACCUUUGGAGAGCCAGCCAAAAACAAAAUCCUAACAAAAGAAGAAGACACCUACUGAAAACAUAGAUCAAGAGGAACACAAUGACGAAGAGGAUGGUGUGUACUACUACAGGCCAGGAGUAGACCUUCAAGUGCCUAUUGCAGACAGAACUACUCAACAUGACAAACGAGAGGACAGUAACCAAGAGAGAUGAGCUCUGAACACUGAAGGGCCCGGACUUAGCUCAAACACAGAUGAAGGUCAGCCACAGCAGGAGGAUGUGCUGUUGGAAGAUGAAAAUCAGUGUCAUGAUGAACCACUUGAAGAAACACAGCAUGAGGUUGCAAUGUCUCCGCACCGAGAUUCUGGUGGAAAUGAAAAAGAACAAAAAUGUGACUUCCCAAGGAGAGAGAGAGACGACCUCCAAAAAGCUUCACCUAUGGCCAGCUUGGAAAUCCAACGUGCUACAGUGCAGUGCACGCAAACAGAAUGCCUUACCAGUACCAGCACUUACCGUAUAGAGAAGUUCAGCCACUGACAGUGUUGACAAACCCAUUCCAAAAUUACUAGCCUUACUAUAUGCAGGUGUACUAAUACUUUCAUCAAUGUAGUGGUGGACCAUUCAUGUUUAGUGUAAACCUAGCAUCAGUUACUAUAGGGUUAUUACAAUCAGUACACAGUUAAGACAAUUUGAAAAUACUAGAUAAAUAUAAGGUAAAUAUUGUGAUGUUGGGACAACAUCUAAUUUUGCAGGGGAGUGUGUAAUAGAUUACUGUCCUAUAUGAUAGGUCAUAAAAGAAUUUAAAAGUUAGUAAUUCAUUAUUAGGUCAAAUUCAUGAAGAUGAUUGUAGGACUUUAUCGAGACUUGUUGGAAAUGGUGUGUGCUUUAAAAGACGUUAAAAAGGGAUUUGCAACGUUUAAUAUGGUUAACACUGUUUAAAAAUGCUUGUAUACAUACAUGUAAAACGUGUCAGAUCUGUAAUCUGCUAGUUUAGCCUCGUUAAGAAAAGUGAUCGGUGAUCAACUGCUUAUGUCUGCCAAAGACAGAGGAGGGAGUUCUGGGCUUUCUUCAUUUCUUCAUUCAUUCUUGGUAGAGCUUCCGCAGAAGAAACAUUGUUUGUUCUGAAUAGUCAUUUAAUCUCCCUCUAUUCAGGCUGUAACACACGAAGUUUAAGCGCCUGCUACUUGGCAUCUUAGUAAAAGAUCGCAAUUUUAGGAAAUCCCUUUUGAGAAAACCUGCAAUUCAGCGCGCUAUUUAGAUCUUAAUUUUAAAAAAAAGCCCCUUGUUGUUGCAGUGCAAUGAAAAUCACCGACCUCUAAUUAUUAUUAUUCUUUUUAAUUCUAUAAAUGAAAAGAAAAAAAAGCACUAUAUUUGUAGAGUUUUUCCAGUUGGAGACCAAUAUUAUGCUGUUACAAAUGAGUAGGGCCCCCAAAGAAAACAAAUAUAUUACCAGAACAAUUUUGAGAGUACACAUGAAAAACUUGGUGGGUUAUGAGAGAGAGAAAAAAAAAAUCUUUAUUUUAUGAGAAUAAAGUGGCAAUAUUAGAAUAAUAACAAAAUACUGUACCUGUCAGGGUCUUUGUUCUUGGUUAGAUUAUAUUUAGUUUUGUUUCAUGUUUUCCUGUGUCCCCUGUUGUUCAUGUCUCUUGUGCUCCUUCGGUUGUUGUCUACACUUGUUCUUGUCAAUCAAUCAGCUCCCUCCAGCCACUCGUGUCUUGUCCAGGUGUUCCUCGUUGUCUCGUCAGUUUGCUUGUAUUUUCGGACUUGAUUCAUUUAUAUUUUUUUUUCCUCGAUGAUCCUUGUUCCCUGCAUUUGGGUCACCCUUUGCUUAAAAUGAUACCAUUAGUUUUUUUUCCCAGUGGGUUUCCCACUAAUUAUUCAACCAUAUAACAAAACACACGUAUUCAUGUUUUUUUUUUUUUUUAAUGCUUCAGCCGCAUUACUGGAUUACCAAUGAAUUAAUUUGGUUCAAAAAUGAAAUCACUGCUGAUAAAUUAUUGCUUGUGUACAAUGGUCUUAAGAUAUAAAACACCAUUGAAUGAUUACUGUUUUGACUUUAAUGUGAACAAAUUAUUGUUUCUGACGGAGUUAUAAGGAUUUUACUCAGUAAAAUUGUCGUCCAGCCUCCUCCUUUCUAAGAGUUUCUCUAUUUUUUGUCAUUCGUCCUGAACAGAGCUGGAGGAAGUAGUGUUAACUUUCGCCCUUUCGCCAUGCAUGGCGGCCCCUUAAUGACAGUAGCAGAGGCCACUCUGCAUACUUUUACUGGUAGAGUAAUUUAAAAAAAAAAAAAAAAAAACACCAACCGCAAGUGCUCUCUAUAUAACCUUUUCUCCUCUUUUACUCUAUCCUCAUUGCUUUGAAAAAACAUUUUAGAAGGCUCUGACGCUGACAUUGUCAGUGUAAUUGUUGUUCCUGUGUAUUUCUGUGAGAACAACAGUAUUCUGCAGUUCAAAUAAAGCUCUACUAUUUCUACUCAUACAGUAAAUCCAUUAUUAUUGCAAUGGGAAUACGAGAUGCCAAAACAUUGCACACUGAAUCUGAAUUUUUCCUGUUUAGGAUUCCUGAAAAUAUCAGACUGAAGUCAUCCCAUUUUCUAAAAUGUCUUGUCCGUCUGUCUAUCCGUCCGUUUUAUUCUGCUUAUCCGGGGUCAAGUCGCGGGGGCAGCAACCUAAGCGGAGAAGCCCUCACUGUGGGCAACUCCAGAGUGGAAGAGAGUCCAACCCCCCCCUAGUCGAAGCUACCCAUCUCUCUUUGCACCCUUGGCCCACAUCCGGUUGAGGGAAAUUGAGGUCAAUCAUAUAGUAUUUGUCACAGGAGGUCAAUGAGCUGUACUUUGCCCUGGGUGACCCUGACUGUACUUACUAUUUAUUAUUUAAUAUCUAUUUUGACCUGAAUGCGAAACUACCCGCUAUGACAUCAGGGAAACACAGUAACUUAAUUUACCCAAGUCACAAGUGUUUUCUCAUACAACCCCGAUUCCAAUGAAGUUGGAAUGUUCACCUGUGGGAUGUUCCAAACAGGUGUUUGAUGAGCAUUCCUCAGUCUUUUUUGCCACCUGUCCCAGCUUUUUUGGAACGUGUUGCAGCCAUAAAAUUUAAAAAGUUAAUGAUGAUUUGCUAAAAACAAUAAACUUGAAAACCAUUGUCAGUAAAUACAGUUCGGCGCUACAUCCGUAUCACGCAUAGUGCAACUUGAAACUCUACUAUGCAAAGCAAAAUCAAUUUAUCAACACCACCCAGAAACGCCGCGGGCUUCUCUGGGCCCGAGCUCAUCUAAGAUGGACUGAUGCAAACUGGAAAAGUGUUCUGUGGUCCGACGAGUCCACAUUACAAAUUGUUUUUGGAAAUUGUGGAAGUCGUGUCCUCCGGAACAAAGAGGAAAAUAACCAUCCGGACUGUUAUGGACGCAAAGUUCAAAAGCCAGCAUCUGUGAUGGUAUGGGGCUGUGGUAGUGCCAAUGGCAUGGGUAACUUACACAUCUGUGAAGGCACCAUUAAUGCUGAAAGGUACAUACAGGUUUUGGAGAAACAUGAUGCCAUCCAAGCAAUGUCUUUUUCAUGGACGCCCCUGCUUAUUUCAUCAAUACAAUGCCAAACCACAUUCUGCACGUGUUACAACAGCGUGGCUUCGUAGUAAAAGACUGCGGGUACUCGACUGGGCUGCCAGCAGUCCAGACCUGUCUCCCAUUGAAGUGUAAAAUACGACAACGGAGACCCCGGACUGUUGAACAGCUGAAGCUGUACAUCCAGCAAGAAUGGGAAAGAAUUCCACCUACAAAGCUUCAACAAUUAGUGUCCUCAGUUCCCAAAGGUUUAUUGAAUGUUGUUAAAAGAAACGAUGAUGUAACACAGUGGUAAACAUGACCCUGUCCCAGCUUUUUUGGAACGUGUUGCAGCCAUAAAAUUCUAAGUUAAUGAUUUUUUGCUAAAAACAAUCAAGUUUAUCAGGUUGAACAUUAAAUAUCUUGUCUUUGUAGUGUAUUCAAUUAAAUAUAGGUCAUGAUUUGCAAAUCAUUUUAUUCUGUUUUUAUUUAUGGUUACCACAACGUCCCAACUUCAUUGGAAUUGGGGUUGUAGUUCCUGAGUCAGACUUGUAAAAACAAAAGCAAAAUGUCAGACCACACCCUUGCAGAUGCUUGUUGUGAUGCAUGUUACUGUUAGUGUUUUAUAAGACUGUUGCUAUGCAAUUGUUGUUUGCAAAAAAUGCAAUAAAACUAUGAGACUUUAAUAUGAAUUUAGAGGCAUCAGUCCAACGGUCCUUCCAGGAAAACAAUUAAUGUAUGUUUGUAUUUGGACUACAGUUAUUUUUAGAGAACAACAAAUGACAUGUUAUGGGCAAGUCAAUGCACAUAGCCCUUCCAGUGGUGCUUUCAAUAUAAAUAAAGCCUUCUCCCAAAGCAUAGAUCAUUUUACACUUGAGACUAUGUGAGUCCUGGGAUACACGUCAUGGAAACAAUGGGUCCCAGCCCAGAAACAAUGAGUCCCUGCAGCAUAU